GGAAUAUUGCACAAUGGGGGAAACCCUGAUGCAGCGACGCCGCGUGAAGGAAGAAGUAUUUCGGUAUGUAAACUUCUAUCAGCAGGGAAGAAAAUGACGGUACCUGACUAAGAAGCACCGGCUAAAUACGUGCCAGCAGCCGCGGUAAUACGUAUGGUGCAAGCGUUAUCCGGAUCUACUGGGUGUAAAGGGAGCGUAGGCGGUCUGCCAAGUCUGAUGUGAAAACCCGGGGCUCAACCCCGGGAGUGCAUUGGAAACUGGCGGACUGGAGUGUCGGAGAGGUAAGCGGAAUUCCUAGUGUAGCGGUGAAAUGCGUAGAUAUUAGGAGGAACACCAGUGGCGAAGGCGGCUUACUGGACUGUAACUGACGUUGAGGCUCGAAAGCGUGGGGAGCAAACA
rnacentral:rRNA from 1 species